GGACCCGUAGCUCAGCUGGAUAGAGCGCUGCCCUCCGAAGGCAGAGGCCAGAGGUUCGAAUCCUCUCGGGUCCGCCA
rnacentral:tRNA from 1 species